GACGAACGCUGGCGGCGUGCUUAACACAUGCAAGUCGAACGGAAAGGCCCUGCUUUUGUGGGGUGCUCGAGUGGCGAACGGGUGAGUAACACGUGAGUAACCUGCCCUUGACUUUGGGAUAACUUCAGGACACUGGGGCUAAUACCGGAUAGGAGCUCCUGCUGCAUGGUGGGGGUUGGAAAGUUUCGGCGGUUGGGGAUGGACUCGCGGCUUAUCGGCUUGUUGGUGGGGUAGUGGCUUACCAAGGCUUUGACGGGUAGCCGGCCUGAGAGGGUGACCGGCCACACUGGAACGGGGAUGAGGCCCAGACUACUACGGGAGGCAGCAGUGGGGAAUAGUACACUGUGGGAGGAAGCCUGAUGUAACAACGCAGCGUGGGGUGAGACGGCAUGGGGGUAGUAAUCUGAUGUCGCCUGUCACGAAGCGUGAAUGACGGUAACGGGUAAAGAAGCACCGGCUAACUACGUG
rnacentral:rRNA from 1 species